GCGCCUGUGGGCGCAACGGAUAGCAUUCGCUCCCAGAAAGAAUGAGAUCUGGGUUCGAUUCCCGGCUGACGCA